rnacentral:rRNA from 1 species
GAUGAACGCUAGCUAUAGGCUUAACACAUGCAAGUCGAGGGGAAACGGCAUUAUGUGCUUGCACAUUUUGGACGUCGACCGGCGCACGGGUGAGUAUCGCGUAUCCAACCUUCCCUCCACUCGGGGAUACCCCGUUGAAAGACGGCCUAAUACCCGAUGUUGUCCACAUAUGGCAUCUGACGUGGACCAAAGAUUCAUCGGUGGAGGAUGGGGAUGCGUCUGAUUAGCUUGUUGGUGCGGGUAACGGCCCACCAAGGCUACGAUCAGUAGGGGUUCUGAGAGGAAGGUCCCCCACAUUGGAACUGAGACACGGUCCAAACUCCUACGGGAGGCAGCAGUGAGGAAUAUUGGUCAAUGGACGUAAGUCUGAACCAGCCAGGUAGCGUGCAGGAUUGACGGCCCUAUGGGUUGUAAACUGCUUUUGUUGGGGAGUAAAGUGAGGCACGCGUGCCUUUUUGCAUUUACCCUUCGAAUAAGGACCGGCUAAUUCCGUGCCAGCAGCCGCGGUAAUACGGAAGGUCCAGGCGUUAUCCGGAUUUAUUGGGUUUAAAGGGAGUGUAGGCGGUCUGUUAAGCGUGUUGUGAAAUUUAGGUGCUCAACAUCUACCUUGCAGCGCGAACUGGCGGACUUGAGUGCACGCAACGUAUGCGGAAUUCAUGGUGUAGCGGUGAAAUGCUUAGAUAUCAUGACGAACUCCGAUUGCGAAGGCAGCGUACGGGAGUGUUACUGACGCUUAAGCUCGAAGGUGCGGGUAUCGAACAGG